AUUGAACGCUGGCGGCAUGCUUUACACAUGCAAGUCGAACGGUAACAGGCCGCAAGGUGCUGACGAGUGGCGAACGGGUGAGUAAUGCAUCGGAACGUGCCCAGUCGUGGGGGAUAACUACUCGAAAGAGUAGCUAAUACCGCAUACGAUCUAUGGAUGAAAGCGGGGGACCGUAAGGCCUCGCGCGAUUGGAGCGGCCGAUGUGAGAUUAGUUAGUUGUUGGGGUAAAGGCUCACCAAGCCAACGAUCUGUAGCUGGUCUGAGAGGACGACCAGCCACACUGGGACUGAGACACGGCCCAGACUCCUACGGGAGGCAGCAGUGGGGAAUUUUGGACAAUGGGCGCAAGCCUGAUCCAGCAAUGCCGCGUGCAGGAAGAAGGCCUUCGGGUUGUAAACUGCUUUUGUACGGAACGAAACGGCUCUGGUUAAUACCCGGGGCUAAUGACGGUACCGUAAGAAUAAGCACCGGCUAACUACGUG
rnacentral:rRNA from 1 species